rnacentral:rRNA from 1 species
UACGGAGGGUGCAAACGUUGCUCGGAAUCAUUGGGCGUAAAGCGCACGUAGGCGGCUUCGCAAGUCGGAUGUGAAAUCCCAUGGCUCAACCAUGGACGUGCAUUCGAAACUGCGAAGCUUGAGUAUGGAGGAGGGUCGCGGAAUUCCCGGUGUAGAGGUGAAAUUCGUAGAUAUCGGGAGGAACACCAGUGGCGAAGGCGGCGACCUGGGCCAAUACUGACGCUGAGGUGCGAAAGCGUGGGGAGCAAACAGG